UCAUCACCCACAAAGGUCAAUUUGAGCUGAAUCGAGUUGGUUUUGGACUGACCAAUGCCCCCCACGUUUUUCAACGAAUUAUGAACGUCAUCCUAGCCAUAGCUAGACAUUUCGCCGCCAUCUAUCUAGACGACAUCUUGCUUCAUUCUCGCACCUUGGAGGAGGCCCUUCAUCAUCUGGAAAUUGUCCUGAAGUUGUUUAGAGAGGCAGGAUUGACCUUGAACAUCGAAAAAUGCACCUUUUUUGCCAAGACAGUAAAUUUCUUGGGAUACGAGGUCAGCUCAGGUUCAGUUCGUCCAGGUGCGGAAAAGUGUACAGCUGUCCAAGAUUUCCCAACUCCGAAAUCCGACCAUAAUGUCCGCCAAUUUUUGGGCCUCACUGGGUAUUUUUGUCACUUCAUCCAGGACUAUGCGAGAGUUGCCCAACCCCUGAACCAACUUCUCAGGAAAGGUACCCCCUGGCAAUGGAGUGACCAGGCAGAGCAGUCCUUUAAGCGCCUAAAGGAUGCUCUCUGUUCGCGACCUAUUCUACUUCUCUACCGCCCAGAUGCUGUUACUGAGGUCCAUACAGAUGCGAGUAAAUUAGGACUGGGUGGUAUCCUGCUCCAAAAACAGGACGAUCGUUUUCAACCUGUUGCCUACUACAGCCGUCAGACACGCGGAGCCGAAGUGAACUACCACUCCUAUGAGCUCGAAACACUUGCUGUUGUUGAGACCCUCAAGAAAUUUCGCGUCUAUCUUGUUGGAAUUACAUUUACGGUGGUUACAGACUGCAAUUCGUUAAAACAGAGUGCAACGAAAAAGGACCUCAUCCCCCGCAUCGCCAGGUGGUGGCUCCAGCUCCUUGAAUUUUCGUUUACCAUCGAAUAUAGGCCAGGGACACGAAUGGCCCAUGUGGAUGCUCUCAGCCGCAACCCAAUCAAGAUCGAUCAAAUCUGCCAUAUUGAAACUGAAGACUGGGUCUUAUCAGGUCAGCUCACUGAUAAGCAACUUCAAAAUAUCCACGAAAUCCUGUCCAAACCUCCGACUACGCCAUAUGAACAUCAUGUUUAUAAAAACUACGCACUUCGAGACAACCGUAUCUACAGGAUAACUGCCAAAGGCCUUCUAUGGGUCCUUCCAAAAGGUAUGCGUCACGAAAUUGUCCGAAUCGCGCAUGAAGAGGUAGGUCAUAUGUCCGUGGAGAAAACCCUCAAAAAGUUGAGUGACACCUACUGGUUCCCUGGUAUGCGUCAAUAUGUUGAAGAUUUCGUUAAGUGUUGCAUACGUUGCCUAUAUGCGAAGCGGAAAGGGGGAAAGCCGGAAAGUUUCCUUCACCCGAUCCCCAAGGGUAAGGAACCCCUUCAGGUUUUGCACCUUGACCACCUUGGGCCCUUCCCAAAAACCAAACAUGGGAAUCAACAUAUUUUCGCAGCCAUAGAUGGUUUCACCAAGUUUUCCUUCAUUCGAGCAGUGAAAACUACCAAAGUGAAGUACGUAAUCGAAUACCUACGUGAUAUUUUUGCGACCUAUGGCUCGCCAACUACAAUCAUCUCGGACCAAGGUACCUGCUUCACAUCGCAUCGAUUCAAAGAUUUUUGCCGCCAAAACAACGUUGAACAUCAUCUCAUCGCCCUUUCAACCCCCCGUGCCAAUGGGCAGGUGGAGCGCCUCAACAAGCUCAUACACGACGCACUCCUCACUUUCACCACAGACGAGGAAAAAUGGGACAAGGAAGUCCGAAGAGUUCAAUUUGCCAUCAACAACGCCGUGCACAGCUCUACUCAAAAAACUCCUAGUCAACUUCUGUUGGGAUUCAUUCCCAGGGGUGGCGAGGAUACCCCUCUGAGGGAUGAAAUUUCUCAAUCUUCGAGAAUGAUCAACGAUAUUAUUGCGUUACGCACGGAGGCGGCACAAAACAUCCAAGCAGCCCAAAAAGUCCAGAAACAUCAUUACGACAAGCGACGUAAGCCAAGCCACUCAUAUAAAAUUGGCGAUUUGGUUCUCAUCGAAAAGCAGGCUGCCCCAACGCCUGGCUCGAAAAAGCUUGCAAAAUCGUUUCAAGGCCCAAUGCAAAUUGUUGAGGUUUUGGAAAAUGAUAGGUACAAGGUUAGGGACAUGGUAGGGACGAGGAGGACAACUAGGCAGACGAAGUUAUACGAGCAGAUCGUUGCGGUGGAUCACAUCAAACCUUGGCGUCCAAGUGGAGGUGUCUCAGACUCUGAGGAGGCUGCUGAGUCCGAUGAGGAUGGAGUGGUCCUCUCCGACUCGUAAUUGGGCACCCGAGGACGGGUGUAGUCAGGAUUACCGAGUGUAAAGAUGCGUCGUCGUAAGCUGAAGUCCUACCCACCACCCGCACCUGACGUCUCUUUUUGUUCUUUUUUUUUAUAUUUAAUAUUAUUUGGCGAUUUUAUUUUGUUUAAGCUGUAGAGAAUUUUUCAAUAUAGAAUUUUACGUAGGUUU